rnacentral:rRNA from 1 species
GAUGAACGCUAGCGGCAGGCCUAACACAUGCAAGUCGAGGGGUAGCAGGAUUAAGCUUGCUUAAUUGCUGACGACCGGCGCACGGGUGCGUAACGCGUAUGCAACCUACCUUAUACUGGGGUAUAGCCCGGAGAAAUUUGGAUUAAUCCCCCAUAGUACUAAUGAAUCGCAUGGUUUAUUAGUUAAAGCAUUGCGGUAUAAGAUGGGCAUGCGUCCUAUUAGCUUGAUGGUGAGGUAACGGCUCACCAUGGCUACGAUAGGUAGGGGGCCUGGAAGAGUGGUCCCCCCCACUGGGAGUGGGACACGGACCAGACGCGUACGGGAGGCAGCAGUGAGGAAGAUUAGUCAAUGGGGGCAAGCCUGAACCAGCCAUGCCGCGUGCAGGAAGAAUGCCCUAUGGGUUGUAAACUGCUUUUAGUUGGGAAUAAACCUCUUUACGUGUAGAGAGCUGAAGGUACCAAAUGAAUAAGCACCGGCUAACUCCGUGCCAGCAGCCGCCGUAA